UACGUAGGGUGCAAGCGUUAAUCGGAAUUACUGGGCGUAAAGCGUGCGCAGGCGGUUGUGCAAGACAGAUGUGAAAUCCCCGGGCUCAACCUGGGAACUGCAUUUGUGACUGCACGGCUGGAGUGCGGCAGAGGGGGAUGGAAUUCCGCGUGUAGCAGUGAAAUGCGUAGAGAUGUGGAGGAGUACCGAUGGCGAAGGCAGCCCCCUGGGCCAAUACUGACGCUCAUGCACGAAAGCGUGGGGAGCAAACAGG
rnacentral:rRNA from 1 species